UUAUACAGCGAAACUGCGAAUGGCUCAUUAUAUAAGUUAUCGUUUAUUUGAUAGUACCUUACUACUUGGAUAACCGUGGUAAUUCUAGAGCUAAUACAUGCUAAAAAUCCCGACUUCGGAAGGGAUGUAUUUAUUAGAUUAAAAACCAAUGCCCUCUGGGCUCUUUGGUGAUUCAUGAUAACUUCUCGAAUCGCACGGCCUUGCGCCGGCGAUGGUUCAUUCAAAUUUCUUCCCUAUCAACUUUCGAUGUUUGGGUAUUGGCCAAACAUGGUUGCAACGGGUAACGGAGGGUUAGGGCUCGACCCCGGAGAAGGAGCCUGAGAAACGGCUACUACAUCCAAGGAAGGCAGCAGGCGCGCAAAUUACCCAAUCCCGACACGGGGAGGUAGUGACAAUAAAUACUGAUACAGGGCUCUUUUGGGUCUUGUAAUUGGAAUGAGUACAAUUUAAAUCCCUUAACGAGGAACAAUUGGAGGGCAAGUCUGGUGCCAGCAGCCGCGGUAAUUCCAGCUCCAAUAGCGUAUAUUAAAGUUGUUGUGGUUAAAAAGCUCGUAGUUGAACCUUGGGCCUGGCUGGCCGGUCCGCCUCACCGCGUGUACUGG
rnacentral:rRNA from 3 species